AUUAUACUUCCUCCGUACGAAAAUACUUGUCCUAAAAAUGUAUAAAAUGAAUGUAUCUGUAACUAAAAUAAGUUUAGAUACAUCUAUUUUUAGGAUAAGUAUUUUCGAACGAAGGGAGUAUGAA
rfam:Hordeum vulgare subsp. vulgare, WGS project CAJW01000000 data, contig: morex_contig_55107